AGUGAACGCUGGCGGUAGGCCUAACACAUGCAAGUCGAACGGCGGCACAGUAAGAGCUUGCUCUUACGGGUGGCGAGUGGCGGACGGGUGAGGAAUACAUCGGAAUCUACUUUUUCGUGGGGGAUAACGUAGGGAAACUUACGCUAAUACCGCAUACGACCUACGAGUGAAAGCAGGGGAUCUUCGGACCUUGCGCGAUUGAAUGAGCCGAUGUCGGAUUAGCUAGUUGGCGGGGUAAAGGCCCACCAAGGCGACGAUCCGUAGCUGGUCUGAGAGGAUGAUCAGCCACACUGGAACUGAGACACGGUCCAGACUCCUACGGGAGGCAGCAGUGGGGAAUAUUGGACAAUGGGCGCAAGCCUGAUCCAGCCAUACCGCGUGGGUGAAGAAGGCCUUCGGGUUGUAAAGCCCUUUUGUUGGGAAAGAAAAGCAGCAGGCUAAUACCCCGCUGUUCUGACGGUACCCAAAGAAUAAGCACCGGCUAACUUCGUG
rnacentral:rRNA from 1 species